UGGCUCAGGAUGAACGCUGGCGGCGUGCCUAAUACAUGCAAGUCGAGCGAACGGACGAGAAGCUUGCUUCUCUGAUGUUAGCGGCGGACGGGUGAGUAACACGUGGAUAACCUACCUAUAAGACUGGGAUAACUUCGGGAAACCGGAGCUAAUACCGGAUAAUAUUUUGAACCGCAUGGUUCAAAAGUGAAAGACGGUCUUGCUGUCACUUAUAGAUGGAUCCGCGCUGCAUUAGCUAGUUGGUAAGGUAACGGCUUACCAAGGCAACGAUGCAUAGCCGACCUGAGAGGGUGAUCGGCCACACUGGAACUGAGACACGGUCCAGACUCCUACGGGAGGCAGCAGUAGGGAAUCUUCCGCAAUGGGCGAAAGCCUGACGGAGCAACGCCGCGUGAGUGAUGAAGGUCUUCGGAUCGUAAAACUCUGUUAUUAGGGAAGAACAUAUGUGUAAGUAACUGUGCACAUCUUGACGGUACCUAAUCAGAAAGCCACGGCUAACUACGUGCCAGCAGCCGCGGUAAUACGUAGGUGGCAAGCGUUAUCCGGAAUUAUUGGGCGUAAAGCGCGCGUAGGCGGUUUUUUAAGUCUGAUGUGAAAGCCCACGGCUCAACCGUGGAGGGUCAUUGGAAACUGGAAAACUUGAGUGCAGAAGAGGAAAGUGGAAUUCCAUGUGUAGCGGUGAAAUGCGCAGAGAUAUGGAGGAACACCAGUGGCGAAGGCGACUUUC
rnacentral:rRNA from 1 species